AACGAACGCUGGCGGCAUGCCUAACACAUGCAAGUCGAACGAGACCUUCGGGUGUAGUGGCGCACGGGUGCGUAACGCGUGGGAAUCUGCCCUUGGGUUCGGAAUAACAGUUGGAAACGACGGCUAAUACCGGAUGAUGACGUAAGUCCAAAGAUUUAUCGCCCAAGGAUGAGCCCGCGUAGGAUUAGCUAGUUGGUGAGGUAAAGGCUCACCAAGGCGACGAUCCUUAGCUGGUCUGAGAGGAUGAUCAGCCACACUGGGACUGAGACACGGCCCAGACUCCUACGGGAGGCAGCCGUGGGGAAUAUUGGACAAUGGGCGAAAGCCUGAUCCAGCAAUGCCGCGUGAGUGAUGAAGGCCUUAGGGUUGUAAAGCUCUUUUACCCGGGAUGAUAAUGACAGUACCGGGAGAAUAAGCUCCGGCUAACUCCGUG
rnacentral:rRNA from 1 species